rnacentral:rRNA from 1 species
UACGAAGGGGGCUAGCGUUGUUCGGAAUUACUGGGCGUAAAGCGCACGUAGGCGGAUAUUUAAGUUAGGGGGUGAAAUCCCAGGGCUCAACCCUGGAACUGCCUUUAAUACUGGGUAUCUCGAGUCCGAGAGAGGUGAGUGGAAUUCCGAGUGUAGAGGUGAAAUUCGUAGAUAUUCGGAGGAACACCAGUGGGCGAAGGCGGCUCACUGGCUCGGUACUGACGCUGAGGUGCGAAAGCGUGGGGAGCAAACAGG